rnacentral:rRNA from 1 species
GUGUCAGCAGCCGCGGUAAUACGUAGGUUGCGAGCGUUGUCCGGAAUCACUGGGCGUAAAGCGCACGCAGGCGGCCUCGAAAGCCCAUGGUGAAAGCCCUCGGCCCAACCGAGGGAUGCCCAUGGGAACUCCGGGGCUCAGAAGACGGGAGAGGCGGAUGGAAUUUCCGGUGUAGCGGUAAAAUGCGUAGAUACCGGAAGGAACACCAGUGGCGAAAGCGAUCCGCUGGCCCGCUCUUGACGCUCAGGUGCGAAAGCUAGGGUAGCGACCGGGAUUAGAAACCCUCGUAGUCC